rnacentral:rRNA from 1 species
UACGUAGGUGGCAAGCGUUGUCCGGAUUUAUUGGGUUUAAAGGGUGCGUAGGCGGCCGUAUAAGUCAGUGCUGAAAUAUCCCGGCUUAACCGGGAGGGUGGCAUUGAUACUGUAUGGCUUGAGUAAAGUUGAGGUUGGCGGAAUUGACGGUGUAGCGGUGAAAUGCUUAGAUAUCGUCAAGAACACCUAUUGCGAAGGCAGCUAACUAAGCUUUAACUGACGCUGAGGCACGAAAGUGUGGGGAUCAAACAGGAUUAGAAACCCCUGUAGUCC